UACGUAGGGGGGCAAGCGUUGUCCGGAAUCAUUGGGCGUAAAGAGCGUGUAGGCGGUCCGGUAAGUCGGCUGUGAAAGUCCAGGGCUCAACCCUGGGAUGCCGGUCGAUACUGCCGGACUAGAGUUCGGAAGAGGCGAGUGGAAUUCCCGGUGUAGCGGUGAAAUGCGCAGAUAUCGGGAGGAACACCUAUGGCGAAGGCAGCUCGCUGGGACGUUACUGACGCUGAGACGCGAAAAGCGUGGGGGAGCAAACAGG
rnacentral:rRNA from 1 species